GCCCACGUGGCGGAACCGGUAGACGCAAGGGACUUAAAAUCCCUCGGCCGCAAGGCCGUGCCGGUUCGAUUCCGGCCGUGGGCACCA
rnacentral:tRNA from 2 species